UACGUAGGGUGCAAGCGUUGUCCGGAAUUAUUGGGCGUAAAGAGCUCGUAGGUGGCCUGUCGCGUCGGCUGUGAAAACUCGGGGCUCAACUCCCGAGCUUGCAGUCGAUACGGGCAGGCUAGAGUUCGGCAGGGGAGACUGGAAUUCCUGGUGUAGCGGUGAAAUGCGCAGAUAUCAGGAGGAACACCGGUGGCGAAGGCGGGUCUCUGGGCCGAUACUGACACUGAGGAGCGAAAGCGUGGGGAGCAAACAGG
rnacentral:rRNA from 1 species